UGGGGAAUAUUAGACAAUGGGCGCAAGCCUGAUCCAGCAAUGCCGCGUGAGUGAUGAAGGCCUUAGGGUUGUAAAGCUCUUUUACCCGGGAUGAAAAUGACAGUACCGGGAGAAUAAGCCCCGGCUAACUCCGUGCCAGCAGCCGCGGUAAUACU
rnacentral:rRNA from 1 species